AUUGAACGCUGGCGGCAGGCCUAACACAUGCAAGUCGGACGGUAGCACAGAGGAGCUUGCUCCUCGGGUGACGAGUGGCGUACGGGUGAGUAAUGUCUGGGGAUCUGCCCGAUAGAGGGGGAUAACCACUGGAAACGGUGGCUAAUACCGCAUAACGUCGCAAGACCAAAGAGGGGGACCUUCGGGCCCCUCACUAUCGGAUGAACCCAGAUGGGAUUAGCUAGUAGGCGGGGUAACGGCCCACCUAGGCGACGAUCCCUAGCUGGUCUGAGAGGAUGACCAGCCACACUGGAACUGAGACACGGUCCAGACUCCUACGGGAGGCAGCAGUGGGGAAUAUUGCACAAUGGGCGCAAGCCUGAUGCAGCCAUGCCGCGUGUAUGAAGAAGGCCUUCGGGUUGUAAAGUACUUUCAGCGGGGAGGAAGGCGAUGUGGUUAAUAACCGCAUUGAUUGACGUUACCCGCAGAAGAAGCACCGGCUAACUCCGUGCCAGCCGCCGCGGUAA
rnacentral:rRNA from 1 species